rnacentral:rRNA from 1 species
UCUCUUAUUUUUAAACCUUGGGUAGUAACUAGAUAUUUCCUUCAAACCCAAAGGAUUUGGCGGUGUUUAACCUACUCAGAGGAACCUGUCUAGUAAUCGUCACUACCCGUUAAAUCUCACCUCUCCUGCGCUCAUAUACCGUCAUCUUAACACUAUUUUAAGAAGCGUGUUUAAAAGGGAGACACUAAUGUUAGAUCAAGGUGUGGCCAUGGAGGGGGAUACGAUGGGUUACAAUUACAAAAUUAUUGGAGGCUCUAUUGAAUAAUCGGGUUAAAAUUGGAUUUGAGAGUAAUUUACUUUUAAGAAGAGUAAGUGAAUAAGCUCUUAAACAUGC